rnacentral:rRNA from 1 species
AUUGAACGCUGGCGGCAGGCCUAACACAUGCAAGUCGAGCGAGCGGCGGACGGGUGAGUAAUGUCUGGGAAACUGCCUGAUGGAGGGGGAUAACUACUCGAAACGGUAGCUAAUACCGCAUACCCUCAGAUGUGCCCAGAUGGGAGUAGCUAGUAGGGGGGGAAACGGCUCACCUAGGCGACGCUCCCUAGCUGGUAUGAGAGGAUGACCAGCCACACUGGAACUGAGACACGGUCCAGACUCCUACGGUAGGCAGCAGUGGGGAAUAUUGCACAAUGGGCGCAAGCCUGAUGCAGCCAUGCCGCGUGUGUGAAGAAGGCCUUCGGGUUGUAAAGCACUUUCAGCGGGGAGGCGUUACCCGCAGAAGAAGCACCGGCUAACUCCGUGCCAGCAGCCGCGGUAAUUC